UACGUAGGGCGCAAGCGUUGUCCGGAAUUAUUGGGCGUAAAGAGCUCGUAGGCGGCCUGUUACGUCUGCUGUGAAAUCCCGGGGCUUAACCCCGGGCGUGCAGUGGAUACGGGCAGGCUGGAGGCAGGCAGGGGAGAACGGAAUUCCCGGUGUAGCGGUGAAAUGCGCAGAGUAUCGGGAGGAACACCGGUGGCGAAGGCGGGUCUCUGGGCCGUAACUGACGCUGAGGAGCGAAAGCGUGGGGAGCGAACAGG
rnacentral:rRNA from 1 species